GGCGCACGGGUGCGUAACACGUAGGCAAUCUUCCCUUGAGCGGGGGAUAACGUUUCGAAAGAGACGCUAAUACCGCAUAAGACCACGACGGGUUCGCUCGUUGCGGUCAAAGCUGGCCUCUCCACGGAAGCUAGCACUUAAGGACGAGCCUGCGGCCCAUCAUGCUAGUUGGUAGGGUAACGGCCUACCAAGGCGAAGACGGGUAGCUGGUCUGAGAGGAUGAUCAGCCACACUGGAACUGAAACACGGUCCAGACUCCUACGGGAGGCAGCAGUGGGGAAUAUUGGACAAUGGGCGAAAGCCUGAUCCAGCGACGCCGCGUGAGUGAUGAAGGCCUUCGGGUUGUAAAGCUCUGUUGAGGGAGAAGAAAACAGUGAGAGCGAAUAGCUCUAGCUCUUGACGGUAUCCCUUUAGAAAGCACCGGCUAACUCUGUGCCAGCCGCCGCGG
rnacentral:rRNA from 1 species